rnacentral:tRNA from 1 species
GGGCAGUUAGCUCAGCGGUAGAGCGCCUCGUUCACAUCGAGGAGGUCACUGGUUCAAAUCCAGUACUGCCCACCA